rnacentral:rRNA from 1 species
GACGAACGCUGGCGGCGUGCUUAACACAUGCAAGUCGAACGGAAAGGCCUGUCCUUCCUUGUGUUGGACGGGUACUCGAGUGGCGAACGGGUGAGUAACACGUGAGUGAUCUGCCCCCAACUUGGGUAUAAGCCUGGGAAACUGGGUCUAAUUCCCGAUAGGACUGCAGGGUGGUGCCUGUGGUGGAAAACGAUUUUCUAGUGGUUGGGGAUGAGCUCGCGGCCUAUCAGCUUGUUGGUGGGGUAAUGGCCUACCAAGGCGGCGACGGGUAGCCGGCCUGAGAGGGUGGACAGCCACAUUGGGACUGAGAUACGGCCCAGACUCCUACGGGAGGCAGCAGUGGGGAGUAUUGCACAAUGGGCGGAAGCCUGAUGCAGCGACGCCGCGUGGGGGAUGACGGCCUUCGGGUUGUAAACUCCUUUCGACCGCGAGGAAGCCGCCUGGUUGGAAGGGUGGUGACGGUAGUGGUAGAAGAAGCACCGGCUAACUACGUG